UGGCGGACGGGUGAGUAACGCGUGGAAAACCUGCCGUAUACUGGGGGAUAACACUUAGAAAUAGGUGCUAAUACCGCAUAAGCGCACAGCUUCGCAUGAAGCGGUGUGAAAAACUCUGGUGGUAUACGAUGGUUCCGCGUCUGAUUAGCUAGUUGGUGGGGUAAUGGCCUACCAAGGCAACGAUCAGUAGCCGGCCCGAGAGGGUGAACGGCCACAUUGGGACUGAGACACGGCCCAAACUCCUACGGAAGGCAGCAG
rnacentral:rRNA from 1 species